rnacentral:piRNA from 1 species
UGGGCCUUGUGUCUAUCCUUGGGCAGCUU